GGUUGGAAGUUUGAGGCCAUAGCAGAAACGCUCAUGGGGCAGCUCUGUCAGAUUCCAGUGAAUCUGUGAAUUCUGCU
rnacentral:ribozyme from 1 species